rnacentral:misc_RNA from 1 species
UCUCCGUAGGUGAACCUGCGGAGGGAUCAUUACUGAGUGAGGGUCUCCGGGCCCGACCUCCAACCCCAUGUGAACCGAAACCUGUUGCUUCGGGGGCGACCCUGCCUUUCGGGCAGUGCGCCCCCGGAGGAUAUCAAAACGCUGCAUCUUUGCGUCGGAGUUUAAACAAAUUAAACAAAACUUUCAACAACGGAUCUCUUGGUUCGGGCAUCGAUGAAGAACGCAGC